rnacentral:lncRNA from 1 species
CAUAUGGUCCAAGGCCAUCCCACGCCUAACUUUAGCUUCCCAUGGUGAUCACUAAGAAUAGAUGUUAGCUUUUGUUGCUUUAUGGACAGAAACGCUUGAGACUGAUUUUGUGAGCAAAUAGUUUUUCUUUGCACAAAAAUGUUGGUAAAAAUCAACUGGUUUAUUUUGCUGAAAAGUUACCCCAAUUUCAAAAACAAAAAAAAGUCCAGUUGCCCG